GUGAAUCAGUUUAUUCAUUCCGGUUGGACCAAAACAAAAGAAAGAAAUUUCGAGUCCUGAUCAACAAUGCCACUGAACCGGAAAUUUGAAUCCGGCGUGCCAUCUUUUGAUCUGCAUGCCACUCUUGUAGUGGAUAAUAUCUAUUUACCUUUAAUGAAUUAUAUCAAUU
rnacentral:sRNA from 1 species